GGCCUGUUAGCUCAGUUGAUUAGAGCGUCGUGCUAAUAACGCGAAGGUCGAGGGUUCGAUCCCCCCACGGGCCA
rnacentral:tRNA from 1 species